rnacentral:rRNA from 1 species
AUUAAGCCAUGCAUGUGUAAGUAUAAAUAAUUCUACUUUGAAACUGCGAAUGGCUCAUUAUAUCAGUUAUAGUUUAUUAGAAAAAAUGUACUACUUGGAUAACCGUAGUAAUUCUAGGGCUAAUACAUGAAUGAAUCCUCGACUUUGAAGAGGUGUGUUUAUUAGUAUGAAAACCAUAUGCUUCGGCAUGAUAGUGAGUAAUAAUAACCUUUCGUAUCGUAUGUUGACAUAACGAUAGUUCUUUCAAGUUUCUGCCCUAUCAGCUUUCGAUGGUAGUGUAUUGGACUACCAUGGCAGUAACGGGUAACGAAGAAUUUGGGUUCGAUUUCGGAGAGGGAGCCUGAGAGAUGGCUACCACAUCCAAGGAAGGCAGCAGGCGCGUAAAUUACCCAAUCCUGACAGAGGGAGGUAGUGACAAUAAAUCACAAUGCGGGACUAUUUAGUUUUGCAAUUGGAUUGAGAACAAUGUACAAGAGUUAUCGAUAAACAAUUGGAGGGCAAGUCUGGUGCCAGCAGCCGCGGUAAUUCCAGCUCCAAUAGCGUAUAUUAACGUUGUUGCAGUUAAAAA